rnacentral:rRNA from 1 species
AUUGUACAAUGUUCAAAUAUUUAUAGGAUUAAGAUGGGCAUGCGUGUCAUUAGCUAGUUGGCGGGGUAACGGCCCACCAAGGCGACGAUGACUAGGGGAUCUGAGAGGAUGACCCCCCACACUGGUACUGAGACACGGACCAGACUCCUACGGGAGGCAGCAGUAAGGAAUAUUGGUCAAUGGAGGCAACUCUGAACCAGCCAUGCCGCGUGCAGGAAGACAGUCCUCUGGGUCGUAAACUGCUUUUAUUCGGGAAUAAACCACAUUACGUGUAAUGUGCUGAAUGUACCGAAGGAAUAAGGAUCGGCUAACUCCGUGCCAGCAGCCGCGGUAAUACGGAGGAUCCAAGCGUUAUCCGGAUUUAUUGGGUUUAAAGGGUGCGUAGGCGGCUUAUUAAGUCAGGGGUGAAAGACGGUGGCUCAACCAUCGCAGUGCCUUUGAUACUGAUGAGCUUGAAUACACUAGAGGUAGGCGGAAUGUGACAAGUAGCGGUGAAAUGCAUAGAUAUGUCACAGAACACCGAUUGCGAAGGCAGCUUACUAUGGUGUGAUUGACGCUGAGGCACGAAAGCGUGGGGAUCAAACAGGAUUAGAUACCCUGGUAGUCCACGCCCUAAACGAUGAAUACUCGCUGUUAGCGAUAUACAGUUAGCGGCUAAGCGAAAGCGUUAAGUAUUCCACCUGGGGAGUACGCCCGCAAGGGUGAAACUCAAAGGAAUUGACGGGGGCCCGCACAAGCGGAGGAGCAUGUGGUUUAAUUCGAUGAUAGGCGAGGAACCUUACCCGGGCUUGAAAGUUAGUGAAUCAUUUAGAGAUGGAUGAGUCCGCAAGGACACGAAACUAGGUGCUGCAUGGCUGUCGUCAGCUCGUGCCGUGAGGUGUUGGGUUAAGUCCCGCAACGAGCGCAACCCCUAUGUUUAGUUGCCAGCACGUUAUGGUGGGGACUCUAAACAGACUGCCUGUGCAAACAGAGAGGAAGGAGGGGACGACGUCAAGUCAUCAUGGCCCUUACGUCCGGGGCUACACACGUGCUACAAUGGAUGGUACAGAGGGCAGCAAGCUGGCAACAGCAAGCGAAUCUCAAAAAGCCAUUCACAGUUCGGAUAGAGGUCUGCAACUCGACCUCUUGAAGUUGGAUUCGCUAGUAAUCGCGUAUCAGCAAUGACGCGGUGAAUACGUUCCCGGGCCUUGUACACACCGCCCGUCAAGCCAUGGAAGUUGGGGGUACCUAAAGUAUGUAACCGCAAGGAGCGUCCUAGGGUAAAACCGAUAACUGGGGCUAAGUCGUAACAAGGUA